AUUUGUUUUUUAAUAAAAACUAGAAUGAAAGGUUAUACAUUCAAAUUUCUUUAUUAAUUUUUAAUAAAUAAUUUAUACUAAAUAUAAAAAUAUAUUUAUAAAAAAAAAAGACGACAAGACCCUAUUAAAUUUUACUUAUAGUUUAGCUGGGGAAGCUUUUCAAUUAAAAUUUUUUAAAAUCUUAAAAUAAAUAUCUAAUUAAAAUUAAAAUUUAAAUAAAUUACUAUAGGGAUAACAGCAUUAUAUUUUUUAAAAGUUCAUAUUAAAAAAAAUGAUUGUGACCUCGAUGUUGAAUUAUAUUUUCUAUAUUUAAUGCAAUAAUUAUAAAAGUAGAUCUGUUCGAUCUUUAAAAUAUUACAUGAUUUGAGUUCAAACCGGUAUAAACCAGGUUGGUUUCUAUCUUUUUACAUAUUUUUCCAGUACGAAAGGACAAAAAAAUUUUUAUUUUAAUAAAUUAGCAAAUAAAUGCAUUAGAUUUAGAAUCUAAAUAUAUUUAA
rnacentral:rRNA from 1 species